rnacentral:rRNA from 1 species
CCUACGGGUGGCAGCAGUGAGGAAUAUUGGUCAAUGGACGCAAGUCUGAACCAGCCAAGUAGCGUGAAGGAUGACUGCUCUAUGAGUUGUAAACUUCUUUUGUAUGGGGAUAAAAUCAUCCACGUGUGUCUGUUUGUAUGUAUCGUACGAAUAAGGAUCGGCUAACUCCGUGCCAGCAGCCGCGGUAAUACGGAGGAUUCAAGCGUUAUCCGGAUUUAUUGGGUUUAAAGGGUGCGUAGGUGGAUUGUUAAGUUAGAUGUGAAAGCCCGAGGCUCAACUGUGGAAUUGCAUUUGAUACUGGUCGGCUAGAGAAUAGUUGCGGUAGGCGGAAUGUGUGGUGUAGCGGUGAAAUGCUUAGAGAUCACGCAGAACUCCGAUUGCGAAGGCAGCUUACCAAGCUACUUCUGACAUUGAUGCACGAAAGCGUGGGUAGCAAACAGGAUUAGAUACCCGGGUAGUC